AUUGAACGCUGGCGGCAUGCUUUACACAUGCAAGUCGAACGGUAACAGGGUGCUUGCACCGCUGACGAGUGGCGAACGGGUGAGUAAUACAUCGGAAUGUACCUAGUAAUGGGGGAUAACGCUUCGAAAGGAGUGCUAAUACCGCAUACGCCCUGAGGGGGAAAGUGGGGGACCGCAAGGCCUCACGUUAUUGGAGCAGCCGAUGGCUGAUUAGCUAGUUGGUGAGGUAAAGGCUCACCAAGGCGACGAUCAGUAGCGGGUCUUAGAGGACGAUCCGCCACACUGGCACUGAGACACGGCGCAGACUCCUACGGGAGGCAGUAGUAAGGAAUAUUGGACAAUGGACGAAAGUCUUAUCCAGCCAUGCCGCGUGAAGGAUUAAGGUCCUCUGGAUUGUAAACUUCUUUUAUAAGGGACGAAAAAAGGUCUUUCUAGAUCGACUGACGGUACCUUAUGAAUAAGCACCGGCUAACUCCGUGCCAGCAGCCGCAGUAACAC
rnacentral:rRNA from 1 species